GUUCGAUCUCAAAUCAGGUAGGACUACCCGCUGAACUUAAGCAUAUCAAUAAGCGGAGGAAAAGAAACUAACAAGGAUUCCCCUAGUAACUGCGAGUGAAGCGGGAAGAGCUCAAAUUUAAAAUCUGGCGUGCCUCCGGUCGUCCGAAUU
rnacentral:rRNA from 1 species